rnacentral:rRNA from 1 species
CCUUAAAACAGCUCGCUUGGAACCCUUCUUAUGUUUUACCACAAACUCUUCAGCAUAAGAAUGUAACUUGGAAAUACAUCAUCUAUAUACAACCAUCAGCAAUGCAUCUCUCAGCUCUGGCUUUGAUGAAGAUCGCAUCGAAAUAGAAUACAUAAUAAGAAGAUCAGAAAUCAGAGAAUCAUAGAUUAUUGAAUCGCACCAUGCGCUCCCGCGCAUUCCGGUCAGCAGUCCUGUGAGAGGCUCACGGUAUCGUCUUCCAUCAUAAUUUCUUCUUUUGGAAGGCAUGGAGAAGGAGGUCGUGCUGAUUUCUCGCCGAAUCUGGUCCUCGGAUAUUUAGAAGCGCGAGAGUAACAGAUCGACCCGGCGUGUUAAUGAUGAUAAUCAUUGGUGGUGAAGUAACAUAAGCUUUAGCUUUUAACCUUCUAUCAGUUGUACAACAAAACUUUGACAUCUGACCUCAAAUCAGGUAGGACUACCCGCUGAACUUAAGCAUAUCAAUAAGCGGAGGA